rnacentral:rRNA from 1 species
CACGUAGGGUGCGAGCGUUGUCCGGAAUUAUUGGGCGUAAAGAGCUCGUAGGCGGUGUGUCGCGUCGGCCGUGAAAACCUGCAGCUUAACUGUGGGCUUGCGGUCGAUACGGGCAUCAUUGGAGUUCGGCAGGGGAGACUGGAAUUCCUGGUGUAGCGGUGAAAUGCGCAGAUAUCAGGAGGAACACCGGUGGCGAAGGCGGGUCUCUGGGCCGAUACUGACGCUGAGGAGCGAAAGCGUGGGGAGCGAACAGG